rnacentral:rRNA from 1 species
GAUGAACGCUAGCGGCAGGCUUAAUACAUGCAAGUCGAGGGGCAGCACGGUUAGCAAUAACUGGUGGCGACCGGCGCACGGGUGCGUAACACGUAUACAAUCUACCUUAAACAGGGGGAUAGCCUUUCGAAAGAGAGAUUAAUACCCGUAAUAAAUUGAACGGCAUCGUUUGAUUUUGAAAGCUCCGGCGGUUUGAGAUGAGUAUGCGUCUGAUUAGCUAGUUGGUGAGGUAACGGCUCACCAAGGCGACGAUCAGUAGGGGAUCUGAGAGGACUAACCCCCACACUGGUACUGAGACACGGACCAGACUCCUACGGGAGCAGCAGUAAGAAUAUUGGCAAUGGAGGCAACUCUGAACCAGCCAUGCCGCGUGCAGGAUGACGGCCCUAUGGGUUGUAAACUGCUUUUAUACAAGAGAAAACCCUGGU